rnacentral:rRNA from 1 species
CCUGAUGGAGGGGGAUAACUACUGGAAACGGUAGCUAAUACCGCAUAACGUCGCAAGACCAAAGAGGGGGACCCUCGGGCCUCUUGCCAUCGGAUGUGCCCAGAUGGGAUUAGCUAGUAGGUGGGGUAACGGCUCACCUAGGCGACGAUCCCUAGCUGGUCUGAGAGGAUGACCAGCCACACUGGAACUGAGACACGGUCCAGACUCCUACGGGAGGCAGCAGUGGGGAAUAUUGCACAAUGGGCGCAAGCCUGAUGCAGCCAUGCCGCGUGUAUGAAGAAGGCCUUCGGGUUGUAAAGUACUUUCAGCGGGGAGGAAGGGAGUAAAGUUAAUACCUUUGCUCAUUGACGUUACCCGCAGAAGAAGCACCGGCUAACUCCGUGCCAGCAGCCGCGGUAAUACGGAGGGUGCAAGCGUUAAUCGGAAUUACUGGGCGUAAAGCGCACGCAGGCGGUUUGUUAAGUCAGAUGUGAAAUCCCCGGGCUCAACCUGGGAACUGCAUCUGAUACUGGCAAGCUUGAGUCUCGUAGAGGGGGGUAGAAUUCCAGGUGUAGCGGUGAAAUGCGUAGAGAUCUGGAGGAAUACCGGU